CAUGACCUGGGCCAAAGACAGGCCCAGGCGCCCCGGCCCCUUAUAUUCUCUUAGGGAAGAUAUGACAUAGCUGUGGGGUAUUCGAACCAGGAUUAUGACCUAAGCAAUCCAGCUCCAGAAUCCCUAGGCACUUAAGCCCAACACAUAACUGGUAAGGACAUUUAGAGAAGUGCCCAUUGAGUAUAACAUGGGAAUGGAAGAGGCGAGACAAGCAGAUGCUACUCUGCCUGGAGGGAAUAAGGAGAGCUUCAGAGAAUAAGGAAGCUUCAUGAAGACGUGCAGCUGUAGGGCUGGACACUGGAGAACUGUGUAAAGGAGCUUACACUUUAUCCUGAGGAGAAAAAUUCUUGUGUGGAGGUAAAAAUUACUUGCCCAUAUGUUUCUGUGCCUCAGUGUCUGAAUUUACUUCAUAUUUGGUCCCCUAUGACUGUAUGGGUGAGUGGGGCCUGGACCUGUUUGACCAGGAACAAAUCUGCAAAUGGCUCACCAACUUGGAAUGCUUUCAGAAUCCCAUCCCCCAAGAGGAAGCACAUUUAGAGUCAUUCAGUGGGAAACCCAAAGGACUGUCAGUGAAUUCUGGAGGGAGGCAAAUGAAGUCAUCAACACUUGUGAUAAAUUUACAGUCAGAACCAAAGAGCCAGUUGCUUGAGAACGGAGUUGGAUGAGUUGAAGUUAGGCUUUGUGAAUUUAGAUUUGUUGAGUUAAAAAAACCAAAUACCCAUGUAUGGCCAGAUUCUGCAACUAGUUUCUAUUUGCUCGUUUUGCACAUACUGGUUACCUUAUAAAACCUGAUUAGCCCACCCUAACGGUUUUUGAUGGCCCUAAUUGUUUUUCUCCAGAUGUGUAGCAGUUUCUGUCUCAUCUACAGAGAGGAGCACCAAUCUACCAAAAUUUUCUCAUUUGACAACCAGGGAGCCACUUCAAUGCACAAGGACUCGGCCACAUGCAAAGACCAAGUGCCUGACCUCCAGUCGGGGCAAACCAAGGAGGGCGGUCACUAUGGAAACCACAGUUAAAAGUGAUUCGGAGGUUUACUUCAGAAUUUCAGCACACACUUCCCUUCUUACUAUAUCACGGAUCAGAAGUUUCCCUGAUAUCCUCGCACGGUAUGUGCUCAGUUGAUGCUGGUGGUCUCUUCAUGCUCAAGAAAUGCAAAACACUGGAAGAUAUACACCAGACACCUUACCUGAAAUUUGAAGACUGGGGCGAGGCUGCUCCAGACAAAAGUACCAAAGCUCAGAGCCAGAGAGUUCUCUGGACGCAGAGGCUUUGCAGUAGAGAACUGUGUGAUGGGGCGGGAGAGUCAGCUGCGGACCGAUGCCCCCGGCCCACAGCCCAGGCUAACCAGAUUAUUACCAUCCUUGGUCACGGACAUGCUGACUGCACUCACUUCAGCCAGUAAAUGCUGGUUCUAAAGCCAACAGUCUCCAGUCUCCGGGUGGGAUUGAAAACGUGUGCCUGGGGAGAGCCAUCCCAAGCCAUGGACUGUGAGAGCACCCCUGACCUGCACGCCUGGGACCCCCGCCAGCCAGUUCUGAGGCACCCGCGGCUCAGCUCAGAGUUCCUUGCCUUCAGGCCACACACUGGGGCCCUCCAGACCAAGAAGACAAAUGGAGAAAGAAGACGGUUUGGGGAUUACUGCUGCCCCGCCCACCCGUGGAACUGUUCCAGAAUAUCAAAAACCUGUUGAAAGCCCAGAGUGGCAGUGAGUGCGGUGAGUAACAUAAUAGAAGAAAAAUCAGUGGAUCUCCGUCCAUCGACUAGUUCAUGUCUGCUGCAGAGCCAAAGCUUCAUCCUAGUUUGUUAAUGAAUGUCGAAAUCACUUAAGACUUUUGGGCCUCUGUGGCUCUAUAUUAAAAAUAAGGAGGUUGAUAUGAUGCAUAAUCAUGAGGCUAACUGACAUCUAUUGAGCACUUACUAUGUGCCGGGCACGUAGUUAAAUAUUUUAAAUAUUAACGUGAGUUAAAUAUUUUAGUUGUCACAAAAGCCAUAAUCUCUCCUUUUAAGAUACAAGAAAAUCAAAGCACAGAGAGGUUGAGUAACUUACUCAUUUGGUAGGAGGCAGAACGUGGAUUCGAAACUCCAAGUCCCUGUGUUUCCCCAUCAUGCUUUCGCCGACUUCUUGUGUGUACUCUUGUUCUUGUUGUGUUGUUUCAUCAAGAGGAAGAUGCGCACUCUCUCAUUCCAAUGCCGUGUAUCUGACAUAGAUCAGUCCUCUGUGCACCCACCCAUACUUGACCUCCAAGCAUCACUGAAAAGCUUGUAUUUAUAGUUCAGGUAGGAGAAGCCAGGAAUUUUAUACCUACCUGUAGCUAAAGCAUGAAGUGGAGAGGGACAGUAUGUCGGAUGAAGAAUCACCAACCAGAACAAGCUAGCAAGCCUCAUCAGGAGCAAAUGGAACAAGAUUCAAGGACGAGGAACACACAGCCAUGUGCUGCAGAACCAGCUCUCUGAAAGGGAAAAGUCCUGGUACGUCCUUUCGUAACCCACGUCCUGAGUGGAGGGCUGAGGUGUGCAGGGGGGCCUCAGUCACGUGGGCAGAAACACAGGACUCGGAUUCAGAUGACUGGGAAUCGGUCUUCCUGGUUGCACAAAUAAGCCAAAUGGGCAGAUAAGCCCGUUUUCCUCACGGAACCUGCCUCUGCUUCUGGAAAAUGGGAAUGUGCCAAGCCCCUCAUAGGUCUGUCCUAAGAAGUGAAUGGGAUGCAGAAAGGAUGAAUACUGACCACUUACAUCGAUGUGG